AGUCGAGGGGUAUGGUUCUUCGGAACCAGAGACCGGCGCACGGGUGCGUAACGCGUAUGCAAUCUACCUUUUACAGAGGGAUAGCCCAGAGAAAUUUGGAUUAAUACCUCAUAGUAUUAUUGAAUGGCAUCAUUUAAUAAUUAAAGUCACAACGGUAAAAGAUGAGCAUGCGUCCCAUUAGCUUGUUGGUAAGGUAACGGCUUACCAAGGCAACGAUGGGUAGGGGUCCUGAGAGGGAGAUCCCCCACACUGGUACUGAGACACGGACCAGACUCCUACGGGAGGCAGCAGUGAGGAAUAUUGGUCAAUGGGCGCAAGCCUGAACCAGCCAUGCCGCGUGCAGGAUGAAGCAUCUAUGGUGUGUAAACUGCUUUUGUACGAGAAGAAACACUCCUACGUGUAGGAGCUUGACGGUAUCGUAAGAAUAAGGACCGGCUAACUCCGUGCCAGCAGCCGCGGUAAUACGGAGGGUCCAAGCGUUAUCCGGAAUCAUUGGGUUUAAAGGGUCCGUAGGCGGUUUUGUAAGUCAGUGGUGAAAGCCCAUCGCUCAACGGUGGAACGGCCAUUGAUACUGCAAGACUUGAAUUAUUAGGAAGUAACUAGAAUAUGUAGUGUAGCGGUGAAAUGCUUAGAGAUUACAUGGAAUACCAAUUGCGAAGGCAGGUUACUACUAAUAUAUUGA
rnacentral:rRNA from 1 species